GGUUGUAGCUCAGUGGAAGAGCACUUGCCUAGCAUGUGUGAGGCACUGGGUUCAAUCCUCAGCACCA
rnacentral:tRNA from 1 species